rnacentral:rRNA from 1 species
AUUGAACGCUGGCGGCAGGCCUAACACAUGCAAGUCGAACGGUAACAGGAAGAAGCUUGCUUCUUUGCUGACGAGUGGCGGACGGGUGAGUAAUGUCUGGGAAACUGCCUGAUGGAGGGGGAUAACUACUGGAAACGGUAGCUAAUACCGCUUAACGUCGCAAGACCAAAGAGGGGGACCUUCGGGCCUCUUGCCAUCGGAUGUGCCCAGAUGGGAUUAGCUAGUAGGUGGGGUAACGGCUCGCCUAGGCGACGAUCCCUAGCUGGUCUGAGAGGAUGACCAGCCACACUGGAACUGAGACACGGUCCAGACGCCUACGGGAGGCAGCAGUGGGGAAUAUUGCACAAUGGGCGCAAGCCUGAUGCAGCCAUGCCGCGUGUAUGAAGAAGGCCUUCGGGUUGUAAAGUACUUUCAGCGGGGAGGAAGGGAGUAAAGUUAAUACCUUUGCUCAUUGACGUUACCCGCAGAAGAAGCACCGGCUAACUCCGUG